GAUGAACGCUGGCGGCGUGCCUAAUACAUGCAAGUCGAGCGAACGGACGAGAAGCUUGCUUCUCUGAUGUUAGCGGCGGACGGGUGAGUAACACGUGGAUAACCUACCUAUAAGACUGGGAUAACUUCGGGAAACCGGAGCUAAUACCGGAUAAUAUUUUGAACCGCAUGGUUCAAAAGUAAAAGACGGUCUUGCUGUCACUUAUAGAUGGAUCCGCGCUGCAUUAGCUAGUUGGUAAGGUAACGGCUUACCAAGGCAACGAUGCAUAGCCGACCUGAGAGGGUGAUCGGCCACACUGGAACUGAGACACGGUCCAGACUCCUACGGGAGGCAGCAGUAGGGAAUCUUCCGCAAUGGGCGAAAGCCUGACGGAGCAACGCCGCGUGAGUGAUGAAGGUCUUCGGAUCGUAAAACUCUGUUAUUAGGGAAGAACAUAUGUGUAAGUAACUGUGCACAUCUUGACGGUACCUAAUCAGAAAGCCACGGCUAACUACGUGCCAGCAGCCGCGGUAAUACGUAGGUGGCAAGCGUUAUCCGGAAUUAUUGGGCGUAAAGCGCGCGUAGGCGGUUUUUUAAGUCUGAUGUGAAAGCCCACGGCUCAACCGUGGAGGGUCAUUGGAAACUGGAAAACUUGAGUGCAGAAGAGGAAAGUGGAAUUCCAUGUGUAGCGGUGAAAUGCGCAGAGAUAUGGAGGAACACCAGUGGCGAAGGCGACUUUCUGGUCUGUAACUGACGCUGAUGUGCGAAAGCGUGGGGAUCAAACAGGAUUAGAUACCCUGGUAGUCCACGCCGUAAACGAUGAGUGCUAAGUGUUAGGGGGUUUCCGCCCCUUAGUGCUGCAGCUAACGCAUUAAGCACUCCGCCUGGGGAGUACGACCGCAAGGUUGAAACUCAAAGGAAUUGACGGGGACCCGCACAAGCGGUGGAGCAUGUGGUUUAAUUCGAAGCAACGCGAAGAACCUUACCAAAUCUUGACAUCCUUUGACAACUCUAGAGAUAGAGCCUUCCCCUUCGGGGGACAAAGUGACAGGUGGUGCAUGGUUGUCGUCAGCUCGUGUCGUGAGAUGUUGGGUUAAGUCCCGCAACGAGCGCAACCCUUAAGCUUAGUUGCCAUCAUUAAGUUGGGCACUCUAAGUUGACUGCCGGUGACAAACCGGAGGAAGGUGGGGAUGACGUCAAAUCAUCAUGCCCCUUAUGAUUUGGGCUACACACGUGCUACAAUGGACAAUACAAAGGGCAGCGAAACCGCGAGGUCAAGCAAAUCCCAUAAAGUUGUUCUCAGUUCGGGUUGUAGUCUGCAACUCGACUACAUGAAGCUGGAAUCGCUAGUAAUCGUAGAUCAGCAUGCUACGGUGAAUACGUUCCCGGGUCU
rnacentral:rRNA from 1 species